GGUUGGCCAAAAGGUUUGUUUGGGUUUUUCUGUUACAUUUUAUUGAUAAGCCUGAACGAACCUUUUGGCCAAC
rnacentral:miRNA from 1 species